rnacentral:rRNA from 1 species
GAUGAACGCUGGCGGCGUGCCUAAUACAUGCAAGUCGAGCGAACAGACGAGGAGCUUGCUCCUCUGACGUUAGCGGCGGACGGGUGAGUAACACGUGGAUAACCUACCUAUAAGACUGGGAUAACUUCGGGAAACCGGAGCUAAUACCGGAUAAUAUAUUGAACCGCAUGGUUCAAUAGUGAAAGACGGUUUUGCUGUCACUUAUAGAUGGAUCCGCGCCGCAUUAGCUAGUUGGUAAGGUAACGGCUUACCAAGGCAACGAUGCGUAGCCGACCUGAGAGGGUGAUCGGCCACACUGGGACUGAGACACGGUCCAGACUCCUACGGGAGGCAUCAGUAGGGAAUCUUCCGCAAUGGGCGAAAGCCUGACGGAGCAACGCCGCGUGAGUGAUGAAGGUCUUCGGAUCGUAAAACUCUGUUAUUAGGGAAGAACAAAUGUGUAAGUAACUAUGCACGUCUUGACGGAACCUAAUCAGAAAGCCACGGCUAACUACGUG